CCCGCCCCGACACCGCCCUCCGACACCGCCCCGGCACCGCCCCCGACGUACUCCUGCUCCCUCAGGCAACGACUCUUACCGAAAGCCAGCUGGAAGAGCAUCUCUGCACUGCAGUGAAAAGCUGCGGCUCUGGAAAGCUACCAUGUCAAAAACAAGCAGCAAGUACUAAGACUGAAUCACCAGAAAACAGAAGAAGGAAGAACCGCCAGGAAGGGACCUGCUCAUGGGCAAGCAAUAGAGGAGAGAUAAGGAAGGUGAAUGACAAUACCAAGCCUUGGAGUCUUUAGAACUGCUGUCUUCUAUGACUUUAUUGUGGGUAUUGGAACAACUCAACACCAAGCAUUUAAAAAUCUCCGUGGAUUUCUGUAUUUAAGUAACUAAAUUCUAAACUAAAC